GGAGCCGGGGUCGCAGCGGCAGAGCCUGCGUGCCGCUGGCCGUCGCCGACGCCUCCGAGGCGCCGCACGUGCUCUGCUGCCGGCUCUGGCGCUGGCCCCAGCUCCG
rnacentral:precursor_RNA from 1 species